UAAACGGGGAGGAAGAGCACCUGGAGGAGGUCUUGAGAAAGAAACAAGAGGCACUGAAGAUCCUGCAAGAGCACUGGCACAAAAAGCAAAGCAAGGCUCCCUGGAGGCACACAGCACAGAAAUACACGGAGAACCUCCCUGAGCAGACCACUCAGACGGCAGAGACCCACGGAGAGGACACCACCGGGACA